rnacentral:rRNA from 1 species
UACGGAGGGUGCGAGCGUUGUCCGGAAUCACCGGGCGUAAAGGGCGCGUAGGCGGCCUGAUAAGUAGGGGGUGAAAUCCUGCGGCUUAACCGCAGGGCUGCCUUCUAAACUGUCAGGCUUGAGCACAGUAGAGGCAGGUGGAAUUCCCGGUGUAGCGGUGGAAUGCGUAGAGAUCGGGAAGAACAUCAGUGGCGAAGGCGGCCUGCUGGGCUGUUGCUGACGCUGAGGCGCGACAGCGUGGGGAGCAAACAGG